rnacentral:rRNA from 1 species
UACAGAGGGUGCAAGCGUUAAUCGGAAUUACUGGGCGUAAAGCGUGCGUAGACGGUUGCGUAAGUCAGAUGUGAAAGCCCCGGGCUCAACCUGGGAAUUGCAUUUGAGACUGCGUAGCUAGGGUGCGGAAGAGGGAAGCGGAAUUUCCGGUGUAGCGGUGAAAUGCGUAGAGUAUCGGAAGGAACACCAGUGGCGAAAGCGGCUUCCUGGUCCAGCACCGACGUUCAGGCACGAAAGCGUGGGGAGCAAACAGG